UUCCGUGAUUCCCAACGGAUUUCAGUAUACCCACUUCCAAAAACGCAAGGAUAACGUUACGUAACGAUGAUUGUUUUGUGAGAGAACUUUCACACUUAACGUUCACAAAUUCACCCCGUCUGUGUUGCGAGUCGCCUAGGAACAACUACAAAGUUCUCUGCACGAAUUUGGAAUUAACUAAUGUGAAUCACUAAAGUAGCUAGAUAUAUGAAACGAAAGCAAAUUUAAACUACACUCUUUCAGUGAUUUGG